rnacentral:rRNA from 1 species
AUAUUGGACAAUGGGGGCAACCCUGAUCCAGCCAUGCCGCGUGUGUGAAGAAGGUCUUCGGAUUGUAAAGCACUUUAAGUUGGGAGGAAGGGCUUUAGGUUAAUACCAUGAAGUUUUGACGUUCCCAACAGAAUAAGCACCGGCUACCUCUGUGCCACCAGCCGCGGUAAUACAGAGGGUGCAAGCGUUAAACGGAAUUACUGGUCGUAAAGCGCGGGUAGGUGGUUCAGUAAGAUGGGUGUGAAACCCCCGGGCUUAACCUGGGAACUGCUUUCAUAACGGGUGAGAUAGAGUAAGGGAGAGGGUAGUGGAAUUUCCUGUGUAGCGGUGAAAUGCGUAGAGAUAGGAAGGAAAACCAGUGGCGCAGGCGACUACCUGGACUGAUACUGACACUGAGGUGCGAAAGCGUGGGGAGCAAA